CCUACGGGUGGCAGCAGUGGGGAAUAUUGCACAAUGGGGGGAACCCUGAAGCAGCGACGCCGCGUGGGGGAAGAAGGGCCUAGGAGCGUAAAGCCCUGUCAGCAGGGAAGAAAAUGACGGUACCUGACGAAGAAGCACCGGCUAACUACGUGCCAGCAGCCGCGGUAAUACGUAGGGGGCAAGCGUUACUCGGAUUGACUGGGUGUAAAGGGGGCGCAGACGGGGAUGCAAGCCAGGAGUGAAAUCCUGGGGCCCAACCCCGGGACUGCUAUUGGAACUGCGUGGCUGGAGUGCAGGAGGGGCAGGCGGAAUUCUUGGUGUAGCGGUGAAAUGCGUAGAUAUCAGGAGGAACACCGGUGGCGAAGGCAGCCUGCUGGACUGCAACUGACGUUGAGGCCCGAAAGCGUGGGGAGCAAACAGGAUUAGAUACCCCAGUAGUC
rnacentral:rRNA from 1 species